UGCAAGUCGAACGCGUGUAGCAAUACACGAGUGGCGCACGGGUGAGUAACGCGCGGAUAUCUGCCUUUUGGUUCGGAAUAACCCCGGGAAACUGGGGCUACUACCGGAUGGUUCCUUCGGGAUAAAGAUUUAUCGCCAAAAGAUGAGUCCGCGUACGAUUAGCUAGUUGGUGAGGUAAUGGCUCACCAAGGCGACGAUCGUUAGCUGGUCUGAGAGGACGAUCAGCCACACUGGGACUGAGACACGGCCCAGACUCCUACGGGAGGCAGCAGUGGGGAAUAUUGGACAAUGGGGGCAACCCUGAUCCAGCCAUGCCGCGUGAGUGAUGAAGGCCUUCGGGUUGUAAAGCUCUUUUGGCGGGGACGAUGAUGACGGUACCCGGCAGAAUAAGCCCCGGCUAACUUCGUGCCAGCAGCCGCGGUAAGACGAAGGGGGCUAGCGUUGUUCGGAAUUACUGGGCGUAAAGCGAGUGUAGGUGGUUGUCCAAGUUGGAUGUGAAAGCCUUGAGCUCAACUCAAGAAAUGCAUUCAGGACUGGGCGGCUAGAGGACCGGAGAGGAUAGUGGAAUUCCCAG
rnacentral:rRNA from 1 species